CCACCCUCAAGCCUGGCUUGGUAUUGGGCCCCCGCGUCCCCCGAUCCCGGGGGACGGGCCCCAAUGACGUUGGCGGCGCGGUGUGACCCCCCGGAGCGUGACGGAUGCACGACGACGGGAGCGGCCCGCUGCCCACCCCCCUUGUCUUCAA
rnacentral:misc_RNA from 1 species